CCUACGGGAGGCAGCAGUGGGGAAUCUUGGACAAUGGGGGAAACCCUGAUCCGGCAAUGCCGCGUGUGGGAUGAAGGCCCUCGGGUUGUAAACCACUUUUGGCAGGAAAGAAAUCGCCUGUGCUAAUACCAUGGGCGGAUGACGGUACCUGCAGAAUAAGCACCGGCUAACUACGUGCCAGCAGCCGCGGUAAUACGUAGGGUGCGAGCGUUAAUCGGAAUUACUGGGCGUAAAGCGUGCGCAGGCGGUUUUGUAAGACAGAUGUGAAAUCCCCGGGCUUAACCUGGGAACUGCAUUUGUGACUGCAAGACUAGAGUGUGUCAGAGGGAGGUGGAAUUCCGCGUGUAGCAGUGAAAUGCGUAGAGAUGCGGAAGAACACCGAUGGCGAAGGCAGCCUCCUGGGAUAACACUGACGCUCAGGCACGAAAGCGUGGGGAGCAAACAGGAUUAGAUACCCUGGUAGUCCACGCCCUAAACGAUGUCAACUAGUUGUUGGGGAUUCAUUUCCUUAGUAACGUAGCUAACGCGUGAAGUUGACCGCCUGGGGAGUACGGCCGCAAGGUUAAAACUCAAAUGAAUUGACGG
rnacentral:rRNA from 1 species